CGAGUAUACAAUCUUAGGUUUAUGAGGCGAGUCUACAGGCCUCAGAUUCUUCCAGCCUCUAAUCUUGAUGCACAACCAUUAAAUGCACUUGUUCUAAAAAAAGGAACCCACCCACAAAUGGCCACAACCUCCCCUCAUGAUAGAGCCAAAGAACACUCACAAACAAGAGGAGAAGUCAUAAUUACUGCAUUUGGAUCCUCAGCAGCCAACACUGGAGCAGGCUGAUUGACUGGUUUAGUACUCUUCCUAGAUCUGACCUGCUCCAUCAUAUAAUGAGAAGAAAAAAUCAAUAACAUGGCAUAAUUAGAAAUCAAUGUCACAAUAUGCAUGUCGGCACCGAAAUUGGUGCAUGGGAUCCGCCCCCCCUCCCCCACAAACCGGGAAAUCAAGGAUAGAUCUUUGUGAGUGAUCCAUGCGGCCAUGUAAGAGAUACCCAACCCAUUUUCUGAGCUUCACCGUGAUAUUCAAGCCAUGGAUGACCGAUAAAUCUGAAAGAGGCCGAGUUAGUGGCUGUAGAUUCAUGCUCUCUCUUGCCAGAAGCAGAGAUAGAAGUUGACUUCUUUAUGGGAGAGCGUGGGGACUGUGACGUCAGCAACGCCUGUGGCUCAUUUACUCGCCAGAUUUAUUCUUUGCUUGGAAGCAGCAGGUUCAUCAAAUGGGCCUCUGUAGUCUGCAAUUUUACCCUAAAAAUAGAACUGGGCAGAGAAGAAAAAAAAUAAUAUUACCAUGAAUAUCCCCGUCGAGAAACAAGACAGAAGUUUGACCAGAAAUGCGGACGAACUCCUCCACAGUUUUAUUAUCUUUUUGCCAAAAUGGCAGCAUAAAAAGUGAGGAAGUCAUCACUGUGAAGAAGGUUUCUGGGACGAAGAAGCACCGAGGCUUUUACCUUAAAAGGCCAUGGGACGAGGACAUAUUGGAUGGAAACAUAAACAAAAGGAUAACAAGUAAUAGCAAUGAACGGAGUAUAUAUAUAUACAUCAAAGGGAUGUAGAUCAUAAUCACCAAGAAAAGCUAUCAAAACCAAGAGAUUCAUCAACGAAACAGAAAGAUUAUUUAGGCAUAUAAAAUUCUACAAUUACAUCAUUAGUCAUACCGUGGAAAAAUGCCAGCUCUUGCAGAGGUCUUCAGGGAGCCAGGAAAGGGUCGUUGAAUUAGUCCUAAAGGUACAAAGACAAUUCAGCAAGAAGCAAAUCAACAGAAGCUCAGAGAAAGAUACAGCGCCUGUAUUACUAAAAGUGCCCGGCAUAAUCAAGAAAACAGAUUUUCAGGAAAAUACCAUCAAAUAAAGAAAGAGGUAGAUGUUCAUGUCUGUUUUCUACUGUUUGUAAUGUCACAUGGUAUCAGCUGCUAAAACAACAUUGCGGAUAAAGAAGUCAACAACAAAAGCCAAAUAAUGAACAUGCCUCCCCCUCAUACACUUGACAUCUAAUGACGUCCUGGUGACCAUAACUGCUCAUGGCUAGUGGUUCUAUCAGAGUAUGCCAACCUCGGCCAUAAACUAGUCCAUAAUGAAAGGGAGGCACAAGAUCUCUGCUAGCAUGAGGACUCCAGAUGGGAGUAACAACUUACCCCCCCAUGCACGUAAUGAGCACAUGUUAUCCAACAUCUUAGCCUGAUAUUUUGCCGUCUAGGCCUGGGUCGCUCUGACCUAUUCCCAGAUCCCUAUAAAUGUAACUAAAUCAGGAAAGAUGAUAAUUCGUCAGUCUGAUUGGGAAUCGGAUAAUAUUACAUCCAUAGAAGAAUAUCAGAUGUCUCUCCCAAAUGACUCAUAGAAUAUAUAUAUAUAAAAAUGCUCACCUCUAUGACAACUCAUAUCAGGUCAUAUUCAUCAUUGAAUGAAUCACCUAAUAUAUGUU
rnacentral:lncRNA from 1 species